rnacentral:tRNA from 1 species
GGGGUUGUGGCUCAGUGGUGGCGCACUCACCUAGCACGUGUGAGGAGCUGGGUUCAAUCCUCAGCACCACA